AGAGCUCUUACCACUGAGCUCUGGUCUCUCCGGAGCUGGUCUUAGUUCUUACAUGGUUCUUGAAUCUUUUAAUUUCUCUACUUUUUAUAUCUCUUUUCUCAUGCCAAAGCUGUCUAGAAAUUCUGACGAGAUCCACUUUUGCCUGGUGUAUCUAGCCCAUCAUAUUCAGGCUAGCCUUAUACGAAGGGCUUGGGAUUCUUAUGUCUGGAUCUGGCCCAGGGUGUUCGUGCUGUGCAGUGGCUCCUAAUAUACCACCGUCAGCAUCUGAGCCACAGUAGGAAAGAGAAGAGAUACUGAGAUGAAGAGAUGGACUGCUGGCAAUAGACUCCCGGCUGGCAGAAAAACAAACACAGCGAAUACAAAGAAGCGUAGAUGCACAAUGAGAUAAAGGCAAGUUCCCACAAGCCUGCGUGGCUCCAGUCUCUAAUCAGAGCCUGUAUCUGGCACACGGCUUCGUCUUUGCCCUUGGGCUCCCUGAGAAACCCCGGGAUCUCUACAGUACACCGUCUCUGGCUGAGCCUUUUGGAUGAAGAACAAAUCAGAAGAGAGCCUGGAAACAAGAUGUCAGACACAGAUAGUAGUAAAGCGAAUCCUCGGAGUGAAGAAAAGAGCAUCCGAGAUGACGAUAGAUGCUGGGUUCAGGCUCCCAGGAUUCCAGGUAUACAGAGGGAAAGGGGACAUCACAGCGAACAGCCUUUUCUCUCUGAACUGCAACCUGGCCAAACAUCUGAAGCCUGGACCGUGCUCCCCAGUCACUACGUGUCUCAAUGGUGCCCAGCCCUGUCUCUGAGCUUACUCACUGCCUUGCUCAACGCCUUUCCCAUAAAAGGCUCUAAUAAAUGCUGA
rnacentral:lncRNA from 1 species